GUUUUAUUUUUUGUGCUGCAGGAGAUGGAACUCAGGACUUUGGGCACGUUAAACAAGUGUGCUAUGACUGAGCCACACCUGCAUCCUCUAAAAGUCUUACCAGAUACCACAGACCACACUGCACCUGUCAUCCUACUUGCUCACUUUGUUUCAGAUGGCUUCAGUAAACAUGGCUGACUCCUGUUCCUGACUCUCCAGACCACUUAGCCCCCAGCCCUCAAGACCCUGCAGUCAGUGUCUCGAUGUCCCAGGGCCUCUCCCUGCUCCAGAAAAGGCUGUCCUUUUCCUAGUUCCCAG
rnacentral:lncRNA from 1 species